rnacentral:rRNA from 1 species
AGCGAACGCUGGCGGCAGGCUUAAUACAUGCAAGUCGAGCGCCUGUAGCAAUACAGGAGCGGCAGACGGGAGAGUAACACGUGGGAACGUGCCCUUUGGUUCGGAACAACACAGGGAAACUUGUGCUAAUACCGGAUAAGCCCUUACGGGGAAAGAUUUAUCGCCAAAGGAUCGGCCCGCGUCUGAUUAGCUAGUUGGUGGGGUAAUGGCCCACCAAGGCGACGAUCAGUAGCUGGUCUGAGAGGAUGAUCAGCCUCAUUGGGACUGAGACACGGCCCAAACUCCUACGGGAGGCAGCAGUAGGGAAUAUUGGACAAUGGGGGCAACCCUGAUCCAGCCAUGCCGCGUGAGUGAUGAAGGCCUUAGGGUUGUAAAGCUCUUUCGGCGGGGAAGAUAAUGACGGUACCCGCAUAAGAAGCCCCGGCUAACUUCGUGCCAGCCGCCGCAGUAACAC